CGUUGCUUGGCUGGACCAGCCGGCGAGCCAGGCUCCCGGGCGCCACCUGGUGGCCUUUCUGGUGGCGAGGGGUGCCCGAGGUGCUCACCUCCAGAAUCCAGCCACCACUUUUUGAGGAAGCCCAGGCCACAUGGAGAGGCCACAUGUAGGAGUUCCAGCCCACAGCACCAGCUAAGAUUUCAGCUGCUCCAGCCAGUGUUGACUGCCAGACAAGUGAGUGAAGAAGAUGAUUCCAGCCUUCAGAAUUCCAACUGAGGACCCAGACAUUAAGAAGCAGAGAUAAUGAGGGACUUGCUGGUCCUAAGUGGCGGGCCUCCGGGCCACCAGGAGUUGACGCUCGGAGCCCACGUCCUUGGUGCAGACGCUGACAGGAACUGAGCUGCUGUCCCGUGCCGCCUUGCCCUUCUGUGGUGCUCGCUGCGCUGCAUGGGGACAGGAAUUAGCUAACCCCAGGAGGGGCCAUCCUUCCAGGGUCAGCAAACCCCCAGGUGUGAAAGCAUCACAAUGCAGAAACGAAAAGACACGGUUGAUACACUGUGCGAGAGCUUUUCAUCCUCCUUUCAUCACAAGCAUAUGCUGGACCAGAAGGAUGAGCAGGAUUUCAUCAGGCUCAGUAGAGAGUGGGAGGGGUUUGCAAGCAGAAGAAAUGAUGCGAGCAGAUGUAAAGAGACGUGAUGUGCGGGCAUGUGCCAUGGCCAUCUGGAAAGGCCCAGAAAGUCAGACGAUCCAGGGCACCACCUCUUCCUUUUUGUACCAACCCCUCUGCAUCUAUCAGAUUCCACAUCAUGGCGGGGACUGAAUCCCACAAUGCCUCUCACACCUGUGCCUUUGCCUCAUCUCUGCGGCUCAGCCCAAGGCCAGGUCACCAUCAGCUCUCAUCCUGAGGAACGCAACACCCUUCUGGCGGUUGCCCCACCUGCCCCCAUCCUUCCUCCCUCCUGCCAUCUUUGUAAGACAUCAAUCUGACCGUGUUUAUUCUCCAUUCAAAACCUUGAGCCGAACUGGAUAUUUGAAGAUAUUAAGGAAUUGUUCAUUAGUUGGGGGGAUGGUGGUAAUGUGGAUUUUUAACAAAUAAAACGUGCUCCUUU
rnacentral:lncRNA from 1 species